rnacentral:rRNA from 1 species
GAUGAACGCUGGCGGCGUGCUUAACACAUGCAAGUCGAACGAUGAAGCCCAGCUUGCUGGGUGGAUUAGUGGCGAACGGGUGAGUAACACGUGAGUAACCUGCCCUUAACUCUGGGAUAAGCCUGGGAAACUGGGUCUAAUACCGGAUAGGAGCGCCUACCGCAUGGUGGGUGUUGGAAAGAUUUAUCGGUUUUGGAUGGACUCGCGGCCUAUCAGCUUGUUGGUGAGGUAAUGGCUCACCAAGGCGACGACGGGUAGCCGGCCUGAGAGGGUGACCGGCCACACUGGGACUGAGACACGGCCCAGACUCCUACGGGAGGCAGCAGUGGGGAAUAUUGCACAAUGGGCGAAAGCCUGAUGCAGCGACGCCGCGUGAGGGAUGGCGGCCUUCGGGUUGUAAACCUCUUUCAGUAGGGAAGAAGCGAAAGUGACGGUACCUGCAGAAGAAGCACCGGCUAACUACGUG